UAUAUAGUAAAAAAAAAAAAAAAAAAAAGUUUAAAAAAAUUGCACCCCUAAUAAAUUCCACUUCCACAUCUCUUAAUUAUUUAUUUAAAUCUUCUCUUUUUUCCAUUGGUUCAUUUUUCGGGAAAACAGUAAGAGACACCGACAGAGGGGCUUGACGACCCAGGUCACGGUUACGGUAGAAGUUGUAAAGGAUUUUAUAGGUUGGCGGAUUUCGUAAUGUUAAAUGGAGUCUUGAAGAGUUGAUCGCGGAAGUUUGAAGAAAAGAUUCAAAGUGAAGAACAAA
rnacentral:lncRNA from 1 species